rnacentral:rRNA from 1 species
UACAGAGGAGCCAAGCGUUGUCCGGAUUGACUGGGCGUAAAGCGCACGCAGGCGGUCGUGCGCGUGGGGUGUGAAAUCUGGCCGCUUAACGGCCAGGCGCCAUCCCAUACGGCACGACUGGAGGGCUGCAGAGGUCGAUGGAAUUGCCGGUGUAGUGGUGAAAUGCGUAGAGAUCGGCAGGAACACCCAGGGGGAAACCAGUCGACUGGGCAGUACCUGACGCUGAGGUGCGAGAGCGUGGGGAGCGAACCGG